UAGAAGUAUGUUUACAAAUAAAUGUUCUGUCCUCUUGAACUGCGUCAUAUACUUUGUAGAGCUGGGAGAUAUUGGAGGACAGAGGAGCCUGGAAGGCUGCAGUCCAUGGGGUUGCAAUGAGUUGGGCAUGACUUAGCAACUGAACCACAAGAACAACAUUAAGAUAACAAAUAUCAAUCCAUUCAUCCCACACCCCUGGGUUAUGUGAAACCUACUUUGAAAACCCCUGAUUUAGAAGCCCAAAUGAACUAUGUAUAAAAACACUCUAAAUAGACAAAACUGGACUAAGAUUUUUGACAAGAUACAUAGCCUACACAUACAUGUGACCAUCCACUUAGAACAGAAUACAAUCAAAUGUGAACGCACACCCCAAUACCACUCUGAGCUUAGUUUUGUUGGAAGACUUCUGUAUUUUCUGCUUUUAACCAUUUUGGAAUAGUUAAUACAAAGCAAGGGUAAAAUAUGACCCAGAGACCAGAAGAUAGACAAAGAAUUUUGCUCAUAUGCCUUAUCAGAAUUACACGUUCCCAAUUCACAUGACUGACCAAGCUGAUUAGAGUAUUUGUUGAGUGAGGAUCUUGCUAUUUUAAACACAAAACCAUGAAGUUUUCUCUUGGCAUCAGUUACUAACCUUAAAAAAAAUCCCACAAAAAUAAUUUCAUUUCCAGGUCCUACUCUAUCCCUUUUUAAUUCUCCACAAUAGUCCUAAAGUCAGCAAGACUGGCGCAUAUAAAUCUUGGUUCUUAUAUAAACAAGUGAAGUUUUUACAGGCCAAAGAGAGUUGCUGGUCUCUUCUCAUUAACUACUGUACUCUCCCUGUCUUAAAUGCUGAUCCCUAGAACAGGAUUAAAAGUUUUUAAUCGCCCAUUUAUGAAGCCAUGUGAUCAUAUGUUCCAAGAUCUUCAUGGCAUCAAUCAUUGGGCAGGAGACAAACCAAAGACUAUUACAGCAUUUAAUUUAAAAGUUAUAGGUGAAAAUUUUAUAACAAAAAAAGUAUCUGCAAAGAUACUUUCAAAAUAAUUUGCCAAAUCAUACAAUUAUUGAUACAAAAAUUUUAUUCAGUAAGAAUUUCUGAGAGCCAUCAAGUUAUGAUUUUUGGUUUUUUGCUUUUCAAUUUUCUGAAGUUUUUUUUUUUUAAAUUUAUUGUUCUUGUUGUUGUUUAGUCACUAAGUCAUGUCUGAUUCUUUUGUGACCCCUUGGACUGUACCCCACCAGGGUCCUCUGCCCAUAGGAUCUCCUAGGCAAGAAUACUAAAGUGAGUUGUCAUUUCCUUCUCCAGGGGAUCUUCCUGACCCAGGGAUCAAACCCACAUCUCCUCCAAUGGCAGGAUUCUUUACCACUGAGCCACCAGAUGGAGAAAUGGAGGCUCAAAAAAGCUAUCUAACUCAUCCAGAGUCACACAGUCAGUGGCAGAAUCUCAACUGAACUCAGACUGAACCACAAGCUGGUCCUUUAUAGGAAUAUAUAGUACCACCUCUUUGGAGACAGCUUGUUGCCAUCAGGCUAAAAGAAGAGCUGAAUCAAAACCAAGGAGGUGCAGGCGAGGACAUCCACUUUUAGAAAAGUAAGUGUUAGUCGCUCAAUCACAUCCAACUCUUUGUGACCCCAUGGACUGGGGCUCGCCAGGCUUUUCUGACCAUGGGGUUCUCCAGGCAAGAAUACUGGAGUGGGUAGACAUUUCCUUCUCCAGGAGAUCUUCCCGACCCAGGAAUUGAACCCUGCACUGCACGCAGACUCUUCACGGUGUGAGCUCCCAGGGAAGCCCUCUCUUAGAAAAGUAAACUUACAUAUACUGUC
ensembl:lncRNA